AGGCUGUAAUGGCUUUCUGGUGGGAUGGGAUACGUUGAGAAUUCUGGCCGAGGAACAAAUCCUUCCUCGCGGCUAGACACGGAUUGCACGCCCUUUGGGCAAGGGAUAGUUCUCUAUUCCGCACCGUGCCCUGUUGUGGCAACCGUCUUUCCUCCGUCGUAAAUUUGUCCUGGGCAGAGCUGUCUGCCCGGAGGCGGGAGAGUCCGUUCUGAAGUGUCCCGGCUAUAAUAAAUCGAUCUUUGCGGGCAGCCCGUUGGCAGGAGGCGUGAGGAAUCCGUCUCUCUGUCUGGUGCGGCAAGGUAGUUCUGGGUCCUUAGGGGCUCCACCUUCACCGCUGUUAGGGGAGUUUUAUCCAGCGUCAGCAAAGGUGACCCGUGAUGGAGGCGGCCGGGAUAGCACAUAUCAGUCGGAUAAUUGUGCAAGUUGAUC
rnacentral:SRP_RNA from 13 species